rnacentral:rRNA from 1 species
AUUCCAGCUCCAAUAGCGUAUAUUAAAGUUGUUGCAGUUAAAAAGCUCGUAGUUGGAUUUGUGGCUGUCCUGUCGGAGCUGAGCUCUGCUUGUGUGUCUGUACGGGUGUGCCUUUAAUGGGAUUGUUGGCCUUGUGGCAUUAGGUUGUCGCAUGGUUGAUGCCCAUCUUUUACUGUGAAAAAAUUAGAGUGUUCAAAGCAGGCUUAUGCCGUUGAAUAUGUUAGCAUGGAAUAAUGAUAUAGGACCUUGGUACUAUUUUGUUGGUUUGCGCACUAAGGUAAUGAUUAAUAGGGACAGUUGGGGGUAUUCGUAUUCCAUUGUCAGAGGUGAAAUUCUUGGAUUUUUGGAAGACGAACUACUGCGAAAGCAUUUACCAAGGAUGUUUUC